rnacentral:SRP_RNA from 1 species
GCUGGGCAUGGUGGCACAUGCCUGUAAUCCCAACUACUUGGGAGGCUGAGACAGGAGAAUUGCUUGAACCUGGGAAGGCGGAGGUUGCAGUGAGCCGAGAUGGUGCCACUGCAUUCCAUCCUGGGUGACAGAGCAAGACUCUGUCUCAA